AUCCAGGAGCAGGACCAAUGAGAAUGGACUCUACAACCAUCAAGCCUCCUUAAGGACAGGAAUGUCUCAUUUUUGUAUUGACUGAUUGAUCUCCAUAGUAGAAUGGAAAACAGGAGAGAGAAAGUUCAUAGUCUUUAUAAUGAGGAAAUGAUCAGUAGAAGCUCUCACCAUUUGGAGACAAAAAUAAGACACCCUAGCCAAGAGCAGAAGAGCAGAUUGCAGCAGAUGUCCUCCUUAAGGUAAACAAAAUGAAGAUUUCUAUACAGAUGAAAUAGAGCAAAAGAAAAAGAAAAGAGUUGGUAGGAGAGAAGAACCUAUAACUCUUAAAGAAAAUGUGAGACUGACACUCCCCUGCUCAAAAACCUUUAAUGGCUCCCCACUGUCAACAGGCAACUGAACUGAAGAGGAGGAGGCUGUCACCGUGAAGGAAAAGAGGAGACAGGUCUGUGUUUCGUGAACAAGUAACUGAGGCCAAAAGGUGAGGUACAUCCACAAGAAGGAAUGCCUGCCACCUCCAGAAAGGUGAGCACAGGAUGCCCUGCUGGGACCUGCCCGGUGGACCGCGCUAAUCAGUCCUCAAGAGGAAAAGAAACCAGCAAAGUAGGAGGAGGAAGCAGCAAUCUAAGGAGGAGAAAACCUUCCAGAAAUGGCCCUAGGUGAAGACAGGCAAGUUGAGAGUGCUUCAGUGUUGGCAUCUGGCACUAGGAAGAUGGGGGCCGAAAAGCACCACCAAGUUAGGUGCAAUCUUAUAGAAGCCUAUGGACAGAAUAGAAGGAUGUUCAAAUGAGGCAGCAAGAGUGCCAAGCCCCAGACAUCCUAGAAGUG